GGACCCGCACAAGCGGUGGAGUAUGUGGCUUAAUUCGAUGCAACGCGAAGAACCUUACCUAGGCUUGACAUGCUUGUCGUACUCUCCCGAAAAGGAGAGGUCACUUCGGGUGGACAAUGCACAGGUGCUGCAUGGCCGUCGUCAGCUCGUGUCGUGAGAUGUUUGGUUAAGUCCAGCAACGAGCGCAACCCCUGUGAACUGUUGCCAGCGCGUAAAGGCGGGACUCUGUUCAGACUGCCCAGAUCAACUGGGAGGAAGGUGGGGACGACGUCAGGUCAGUAUGGCCCUUACGCCUAGGGCUGCACACGUACUACAAUGCCCAGCACAAUGAGAACCGAGACCGCAAGGUGGAG
rnacentral:rRNA from 1 species